UUUCGCCAAGCAUCCUGUGAAGGGUAGCCUGGAGUUUCUUCUUGGAAGGUGUGUAAAUAAGGGUGCUAACAUGCAUUUGUUGUUCAUGCUGGGAAGUUCCUCACUUCUCUUCAUUUCUUAAUUGAGUCAACUGGAAGAAAUACAUAUUAUCAUGGAUGUAUACCAUAAGAGACUCAGACUUUUGCUAUUGAGAUGUUGUCACUGAAGCAGAAACACCUAGGUACUAUGGGUAAAGAAAGUCUCUGUGCACAGCUGGGGGCCUCCCCACCUCCUGGGAUCACUGAAAGCAAGGGUAUGACACAGAGGCUGGGAAUCCUGAAAGUCACAAAGGAAUAGUUGGAUGAUACACCCUGGGCGUAGUGUGUCAUCCUACAUGUUUCAUGAAGAGCAGUGGUGGACAACUAAGAAGGAUGGUACUUUAUAUGGUCUGUGUUAGUCUUUGAAGUAUUUCUGUACUUUGAUUGGUGUGUUCAAUUUCUUCCAUUAGGUUAUUUAACCUGUAGUUUUCCAGAUGAUUUUUUUGACUGCCACCUAUUCACUGUGGCAAGUUUUGUGAGAUAUUCUAAGACAUAUUAGGUGUGGUCUCUGCCAUCAAUGAGGUCAGCAUCUGACUUGGGAGAUAAAACACAAGGGCAUGAAAUGUGAGUAAGGUCCAGUGCGAGACUAUCCCUUGAAAGGGAUGUUAUCGUAGAGGAGGGAGGGACAAGAAAAGUCACACAAUGCUUCACGUGGAGGCAAAAACUGAGCUGGCCCUGAAUGCAUGGCUGUAAAUUAAGGAUUCAUAAAUUAAUUCAAUAUUUUUGAGAUCUCUAGGCAUCAAGCUAAUGGAGAUGGUUUCUUCCUCCAAAGAGGUCACAGUGUACUUGAGGGAGAUAAAGAAGGGCACUACAAGUGUUACAGGUGCUGUGAUGGAGUUAUACACAAGAUACUGGGACAGAGGCUUGAAGGAUGAUAGUGACUUUCCCAGCUUACCGCUCCUAGAAACCAUGUCUCCAUGUCUCUGAAUCUCAACCCCAUGAUGCUUCUUCCAGAGAACUAUGGCUCGUUCGGCUGGGUAGUUCUUCUGCCGGAAUCACUAAUGUGACUGCAAUCAUCUGGAGGAUCGACUGGGGUUGGUCUAGGGAACCUUCUUGAUGGCCUAUCUCUAGGUGUUAUCCUAGCUCCAACAUCUUCAUGUGACAGUCACAGGGCAGCAAGAGAGGACAGACGC